UACGGGGGGGGGCAAGCGUUGUUCGGAAUUACUGGGCGUAAAGGGCUCGUAGGCGGCCAACUAAGUCGGAUGUGAAAUCCCCAGGCUUAACCUGGGAACUGCAUCCGAUACUGGAUGGCUUGAAUCCGGGAGAGGGAUGCAGAAUUCCAGGUGUAGCGGUGAAAUGCGUAGAUAUCAGGAGGAACACCUGUGGCGAAAGCGGCUCACUGGACCAUAACUGACGCUGAGACGCGAAAGCGUGGGGAGCGAACAGG
rnacentral:rRNA from 1 species